GUGGGGAAUCUUAGACAAUGGGGGAAACCCUGAUCUAGCCAUGCCGCGUGAGCGAUGAAGGCCUUAGGGUUGUAAAGCUCUUUAGCCGAUGAUUAUAAUGACUGUAGUCGGAAAAUAAGCCCCGGCUAACUUCGUGCCAGCAGCCGCGGUAAUACGAAGGGGGCGAGCGUUAUUCGGAAUCACUGGGCGUAAAGCGUGCGUAGGCGGUUUUGUAAGUUGGGAGUGAAAGCCCAGGGCUCAACCCUGGAAUUGCUCUCAAAACUACAAGACUUGAAUUCGGGAGAGGAUAGCGGAAUUGUCAGUGUAGCAGUGAAAUGCGUAGAUAUUGACAGGAACACCAGUGGCGUAAGCGGCUAUCUGGACCGACAUUGACGCUGAGGCACGAAAGCGUGGGGAUCAAACAGGAUUAGAAACCCCAGUAGUCC
rnacentral:rRNA from 1 species